UACGAAGGGGGCUAGCGUUGCUCGGAAUUACUGGGCGUAAAGCGCACGUAGGCGGAUUGUUAAGUCGGGGGUGAAAUCCUGGAGCUCAACUCCAGAACUGCCUUCGAUACUGGCGAUCUCGAGUUCGGGAGAGGUGAGUGGAACUGCGAGUGUAGAGGUGAAAUUCGUAGAUAUUCGCAAGAACACCGGUGGCGAAGGCGACGUCCUGGACCGGCAUUGACGCUGAGGCGCGAAAGCCAGGGGAGCAAACGGG
rnacentral:rRNA from 1 species